AUUGAACGCUGGCGGCAUGCCUUACACAUGCAAGUCGAACGGUAACGCGGGGGCAACCCUGGCGACGAGUGGCGAACGGGUGAGUAAUACAUCGGAACGUACCCAGUAGUGGGGGAUAGCUCGGCGAAAGCCGGAUUAAUACCGCAUACGACCUAUGGGUGAAAGCGGGGGAUCGCAAGACCUCGCGCUAUUGGAGCGGCCGAUGUCGGAUUAGCUAGUUGGUGAGGUAAAAGCNCACCAAGGCUACGAUCCGUAGCUGGUCUGAGAGGACGACCAGCCACACUGGGACUGAGACACGGCCCAGACUCCUACGGGAGGCAGCAGUGGGGAAUUUUGGACAAUGGGCGAAAGCCUGAUCCAGCCAUGCCGCGUGUGUGAAGAAGG
rnacentral:rRNA from 1 species